rnacentral:rRNA from 1 species
AGUGAACGCUGGCGGUAGGCCUAACACAUGCAAGUCGAACGGCAGCACAGUAAGAGCUUGCUCUUACGGGUGGCGAGUGGCGGACGGGUGAGGAAUACAUCGAAAUCUACUUUUUCGUGGGGGAUAACGUAGGGAAACUUACGCUAAUACCGCAUACGACCUACGGAUGAAAGCAGGGGAUCUUCGGACCUUGCGCGAUUGAAUGAGCCGAUGUCGGAUUAGCUAGUUGGCGGGGUAAAGGCCCACCAAGGCGACGAUCCGUAGCUGGUCUGAGAGGAUGAUCAGCCACACUGGAACUGAGACACGGUCCAGACUCCUACGGGAGGCAGCAGUGGGGAAUAUUGGACAAUGGGCGCAAGCCUGAUCCAGCCAUACCGCGUGGGUGAAGAAGGCCUUCGGGUUGUAAAGCCCUUUUGUUGGGAAAGAAAGGCAGCAGGUUAAUACCCCGCUGUUCUGACGGUACCCAAAGAAUAAGCACCGGCUAACUUCGUG